ACUCCUACGGGAGGCAGCAGUGAGGAAUGAUUGGACAAUGGCGGGAGCCUGAUCCAGCCAUGCCGCGUGCAGGAAGACUGCCCUAUGGGUUGUAAACUGCUUUUGUACAGGAAGAAACACUCCCUCGUGAGGGAGCUUGACGGUACUGUAAGAAUAAGGAUCGGCUAACUCCGUGCCAGCAGCCGCGUAAUACGGAGGAUCCAAGCGUUAUCCGGAAUCAUUGGGUUUAAAGGGUCCGUAGGUGGAUGAUUAAGUCAGAGGUGAAAUCCUGCAGCUCAACUGUAGAAUUGCCUUUGAUACUGGUUGUCUUGAAUUAUUGUGAAGUAGUUAGAAUAUGUGGUGUAGCGGUGAAAUGCAUAGAUAUCACAUAGAAUACCGAUUGCGAAGGCAGAUUACUAACAUACAUUGACACUGAUGGACGAAAGC
rnacentral:rRNA from 1 species